rnacentral:rRNA from 1 species
GAACGGGUGAGUAAUAUAUCGGAACGUACCCUGGAGUGGGGGAUAACGUAGCGAAAGUUACGCUAAUACCGCAUACGAUCUAAGGAUGAAAGCAGGGGACCGCAAGGCCUUGUGCUCCUGGAGCGGCCGAUAUCUGAUUAGCUAGUUGGUGGGGUAAAGGCCCACCAAGGCAUCGAUCAGUAGCUGGUCUGAGAGGACGACCAGCCACACUGGAACUGAGACACGGUCCAGACUCCUACGGGAGGCAGCAGUGGGGAAUUUUGGACAAUGGGCGCAAGCCUGAUCCAGCAAUGCCGCGUGAGUGAAGAAGGCCUUCGGGUUGUAAAGCUCUUUUGUCAGGGAAGAAACGGCCGUUUCUAAUACAGAUGGCUAAUGACGGUACCUGAAGAAUAAGCACCGGCUAACUACGUGCCAGCAGCCGCGGUAAUACGUAGGGUGCAAGCGUUAAUCGGAAUUACUGGGCGUAAAGCGUGCGCAGGCGGUUUUGUAAGUCUGUCGUGAAAUCCCCGGGCUCAACCUGGGAAUGGCGAUGGAGACUGCAAGGCUAGAGUUUGGCAGAGGGGGGUAGAAUUCCACGUGUAGCAGUGAAAUGCGUAGAUAUGUGGAGGAACACCGAUGGCGAAGGCAGCCCCCUGGGUCAAAACUGACGCUCAUGCACGAAAGCGUGGGGAGCAAACAGGAUUAGAUACCCUGGUAGUCCACGCCCUAAACGAUGUCUACUAGUUGUCGGGUCUUAAUUGACUUGGUAACGCAGCUAACGCGUGAAGUAGACCGCCUGGGGAGUACGGUCGCAAGAUUAAAACUCAAAGGAAUUGACGGGGACCCGCACAAGCGGUGGAUGAUGUGGAUUAAUUCGAUGCAACGCGAAAAACCUUACCUACCCUUGACAUGGAAGGAAUCCCGGAGAGAUUUGGGAGUGCCCGAAAGGGAACCUUUACACAGGUGCUGCAUGGCUGUCGUCAGCUCGUGUCGUGAGAUGUUGGGUUAAGUCCCGCAACGAGCGCAACCCUUGUCAUUAGUUGCUACGAAAGAGCACUCUAAUGAGACUGCCGGUGACAAACCGGAGGAAGGUGGGGAUGACGUCAAGUCCUCAUGGCCCUUAUGGGUAGGGCUUCACACGUCAUACAAUGGUACAUACAGAGGGCCGCCAACCCGCGAGGGGGAGCUAAUCCCAGAAAGUGUAUCGUAGUCCGGAUUGUAGUCUGCAACUCGACUGCAUGAAGUUGGAAUCGCUAGUAAUCGCGGAUCAGCAUGUCGCGGUGAAUACGUUCCCGGG